GAUUAAGAACGUAGCGAAAUGCGAUAAGUAAUGUGAAUUGCAGAAUUCAGUGAAUCAUCGAAUCUUUGAACGCACAUUGCGCCCGGCAGUACUCUGCCGGGCAUGCCUGUUCGAGCGUCAUUUCAACCCUCAAGCCCUGCUUGGUGUUGGGGCCCCACGGCUGCCGUGGGCCCUGAAAGGAAGUGGCGGGCUCGCUACAACUCCGAGCGUAGUAAUUCAUUAUCUCGCUUAGGGCGUUGGGCGGCGCUCCAGCCGUUAAAGAACCAUCUUUAACUCAAGGUUGACCUCGGAUCAGGUAGGAAUACCCGCUGAACUUAAGCAUAUCAAUAAGCGGAGGA
rnacentral:misc_RNA from 1 species